rnacentral:rRNA from 1 species
GUGAGGAAUAUUGGUCAAUAGCCUAACGGCUGAACCAGCAACUUGGAGGAAUGUAUAGGGAAAACUGGUAAAAUGUGAUGUACCUAGUAAUAUUAGUGAUUAAUAUGAGAUUAACUAAGUUAAUUAAAAUUCUAGAUAGGUUUUGAUAAUGACAUUAUUUAUCUAUGUCUUGACCAAGUCACGUGCCAGCAGUCGCGGUAAUACGUGGGAGACUAGUGUUAUUCAUCUUAAAUGGGUAUAUAGGGUACCUAGACGGUUAAUCAAGCUAGCGAUUAGUACUAAUUAACUAGAGUUUAAUAUAAAAAGGUUUUAGUACGGUGAGUGUAGAGAUAAUAUUCUGUGAUACCACUAUGGAACUGGUAAAUGCGAAGGCAACCUUUUAUGUAAAAACUGACGUU